rnacentral:rRNA from 1 species
UAAUACAGAGGGGGCAAGCGUUGUUCGGAAUUACUGGGCGUAAAGGGUUCGUAGGUGGCCCGCUAAGUCACACGUGAAAUCCCUCAGCUUAACUGGGGAACUGCGUGUGAGACUGGCAGGCUUGAGUGCAGGAGAGGAACGCGGAAUUCCAGGUGUAGCGGUGAAAUGCGUAGAUAUCUGGAGGAACACCGGUGGCGAAGGCGGCGUUCUGGACUGUAUCUGACACUGAGGAACGAAAGCCAGGGGAGCAAACGGGAUUAGAUACCCCGGUAGUCCUGGCCCUAAACGAUGAAUGCUUGGUGUGACGGGUAUCGAUCCCUGUCGUGCCGUAGUUAACGCGUUAAGCAUUCCGCCUGGGGAGUACGGUCGCAAGGCUG